rnacentral:rRNA from 1 species
GACGAACGCUGGCGGCGUGCUUAACACAUGCAAGCCGAACGGAAAGGCCCUGCUUGCAGGGUACUCGAGUGGCGAACGGGUGAGUAACACGUGGGUGAUCUGCCCUGCACUUCGGGAUAAGCCUGGGAAACUGGGUCUAAUACCGGAUAUGACCUUCCAUGUAGUGUGGGGGGUGGAAAGAUUUAUCGGUGUGGGAUGAGCCCGCGGCCUAUCAGCUUGUUGGUGGGGUAAUGGCCUACCAAGGCGUCGACGGGUAGCCGGCCUGAGAGGGUGGACGGCCACAUUGGGACUGAGAUACGGCCCAGACUCCUACGGGAGGCAGCAGUGGGGAAUAUUGCACAAUGGGCGGAAGCCUUAUGCAGCGACGCCGCGUGGGGGAUGACGGCCUUCGGGUUGUAAACCUCUUUCGACAGGGACGAAGCUUCGGUGACGGUACCUGUAGAAGAAGCACCGGCUAACUACGUG